UAGGGAAUCUUCCACAAUGGACGCAAGUCUGAUGGAGCAACGCCGCGUGAGUGAAGAAGGGUUUCGGCUCGUAAAGCUCUGUUGUUAAAGAAGAACGUGGGUAAGAGUAACUGUUUACCCAGUGACGGUAUUUAACCAGAAAGCCACGGCUAACUACGUGCC
rnacentral:rRNA from 1 species